GAAUGAAGGAAGCACGGUUAUGUGCACAAAAAUUGAAAUAGAGUUGACAUGUCUGCUCCCUCUGAUUCCCUGUGAUUUAGGGGCAUGAGUUGAGACUCACAGCC
rfam:Solanum lycopersicum cultivar Heinz 1706 chromosome 12, whole genome shotgun sequence.